UUAUUUAUAAAAGCUUGCCAACGCUUGGCACAUUAAUACAUUGACAGAAGAAAAAUAAAAUACAGUUUUCAAUGUGUCAAGCACUUACUGGCAAACAUAGCAUACAAGAAGUAAUAAAAUUAAUUAAUCAAAACAAUAAUAAAAUUUAAACAAACACUAAACGAAAAUCGCUCUCAAAGUCUGAGGUGAGCAACUAUGGAUGUCCAGAUCCAGCUCGUUUAAUAGAAUGCUCAAUCUGGACAUCGGUGAAUUUCGGCCAAAACGCGUUCUCCGGAAAGGAGGGAUAAAUGGAAGGAUGGGAUGUCUGGGAUAUCGUAGGACAUAGAGACUAUGAUCUCAUGGCGUUCCUCGUCAAAGUGGUGUUGGGUGAAAAUUGUCUGUCAAUAAAACAUCUCAAAAGACGUCUCAUCUAGCAAUUUAAAUUCAGCAGAGCUUUCAAAUUCGACACUCGACUAAUGCGAUCCCGAACAUUUUAUCGAACUCCGAUACCUGUAUCCAAAUUAUUUAAAUAUAUAAGGCGACUUAAUUAUUAA